rnacentral:rRNA from 1 species
CGGAGCUUGCUCUGUGGGAUCAGUGGCGAACGGGUGAGUAACACGUGAGCAACCUGCCCCUGACUCUGGGAUAAGCGCUGGAAACGGCGUCUAAUACUGGAUAUGUGACGUGACCGCAUGGUCUGCGUCUGGAAAGAAUUUCGGUUGGGGAUGGGCUCGCGGCCUAUCAGCUUGUUGGUGAGGUAAUGGCUCACCAAGGCGUCGACGGGUAGCCGGCCUGAGAGGGUGACCGGCCACACUGGGACUGAGACACGGCCCAGACUCCUACGGGAGGCAGCAGUGGGGAAUAUUGCACAAUGGGCGCAAGCCUGAUGCAGCAACGCCGCGUGAGGGACGACGGCCUUCGGGUUGUAAACCUCUUUUAGCAGGGAAGAAGCGAAAGUGACGGUACCUGUAGAAAAAGCGCCGGCUAACUACGUGCCAGCAGCCGCGGUAAUACGUAGGGCGCAAGCGUUAUCCGGAAUUAUUGGGCGUAAAGAGCUCGUAGGCGGUUUGUCGCGUCUGCUGUGAAAUCCGGAGGCUCAACCUCCGGCCUGCAGUGGGUACGGGCAGACUAGAGUGCGGUAGGGGAGAUUGGAAUUCCUGGUGUAGCGGUGGAAUGCGCAGAUAUCAGGAGGAACACCGAUGGCGAAGGCAGAUCUCUGGGCCGUAACUGACGCUGAGGAGCGAAAGGGUGGGGAGCAAACAGGCUUAGAUACCCUGGUAGUCCACCCCGUAAACGUUGGGAACUAGUUGUGGGGUCCAUUCCACGGAUUCCGUGACGCAGCUAACGCAUUAAGUUCCCCGCCUGGGGAGUACGGCCGCAAGGCUAAAACUCAAAGGAAUUGACGGGGACCCGCACAAGCGGCGGAGCAUGCGGAUUAAUUCGAUGCAACGCGAAGAA